AUGUGAGCAAAUAAGUUCACCACCAAACUUGGCUGCAGCUUCUUUCUGCUGAGGGGGCAUGGAGUCCAACAAUAUUUUACCAUGGGAAAACCAACAGUGGAAAGCAGGAACAGAAGACUCCUGUCUGCAGGGUAAUGGUUUCCUAGCACCAAUAUUCAGUUCAUGUCAUCUGUCACUGACAUCCACCAAAAAUCCUCCCCUGAAUCCUCAGCAUAAUGGCAAAUGCCAGUCUUUGAUUCUGCCUGAGUCAUCUGCCUGCACUAUGUGGAACCAAUGUUUUGACAAGCUGAACACCAUGACCUGAGCAGUGCAUCCAGGAGCUAUAAUUAAUGCUGUGACUCAAUGGAACACCCCAGCAAUCACGAGAGACUUCCAGUACAUCCAUGCAGCUCCUUGUAGGGCAGAGAGAACUGCAAAAUCAGGCUUCCCAGCCCACAGCAAGAUCCUUGUUAUAGUCACAUCUCCAGUGGAGACACCGUGCUGAGGACUGACCUUCAGCUUUAGUAUCCUGCACGUCACACACAUCUUUUAUUAUUACUUUAUCACUAUUAAUCUACACUUUCAGCAACAUAAUCUCUUCUUACCUUCACUAGUUUGAGCUUCUAUAUGAUGAAAUGCAAAGUUUUUCAUUGCCUGAAUUAAUGAAUUUUGAGCAGAAGUACAAUGUGCUACAGAAAACAUCUCAGCUGUUCCUCUUCUCUCACGCACAUACCAAAUUGUAAUUAUUAGUCACUCCAGGUUUCAGUUUCACAUUUUUCUCUUCCUACAUUCACUACAGCAUCACCAGGCUUUAAAACCUGCAGAGGAUGGCAGACAGCUAAGCCAUCUGCAGUUAAUACCGCAGCAUGAAAUAAUAAUAGCCCUAAUAUUCAACUGCCAAGAGAACAACCAGAAGCAGUUUAUGUUCCUAGGACUCAAGAAUGAGUAAUGUGUCAACAAAUAACACUAACACAAAAUACCAUUUGACUUUAUUACGACAGUUUUAACAUUUAGGGUAAUGCAAACUAAAGGUCUUCAUCUUGUACUUUACAUUUAUUAGCUAUUCAAUGCUAGUACCUGUCAAGUAAACAUGAAUGAAUUUCAGUAGCAGUUUGUGCCAAGGAAGACUUCCAUACAUUCUUCUAGAAGAAGGUUUGGCAAGGUUUUUUUAAACCUUUUUGCCAGGUUUUUUUAAAGUAAUGGUUUCUGUCUCAACACCUGACUAAUCCUCAAUGAGUAAAAAAGCAGUGGACACUUACAGUAUCUAUUAUAGCACUUUAUACAAGGGAAGAAGAUAUUGAAGAUACCCCUCACAAGAAUAUACUGCUGGGAUCAUUCAAAAAGAACAGCAGGGUUGUUUUUUUUUUUGCUUGACAGAAGAGAAGUAAAGGAAAGAGGGAAGAUGUCAGGGGUUUGAGCUUUCAGUCAGAGGGGCUCGAGCCCUGCAAGCCUCCUUCUGCUUUGCUACAUACCCUGGUGUAAUCUGAGGAAUAGCUUUAGAAAGCAUUUGAGUUUAAAACUACACAAUCAUUUGUACAUUUCAGGCAAAAUUCAUAACCUGCAACUUGGCAGCUCAUGGAGUUAUCCUAUUCUGAAGCUGCACUGCUACAACAUCCUUUAAAAAAGUAUAUAUAUUUGGACCAACUUUGCAAUGUAUCAGAAAUAUAGGGUAUGCUUCACUUCAGUUUCUGAAGUCAGUGAGAAGAAAUGUACAAAACAAAAACUGAAAAGCCAAAUAUUGUGCAGGACAAGUAGCUUUCAUGCAAACUUCCCAUACUGGAACAAGGGGAUCAGCCAGGGAGGUUCUGAGGCAUGACUCUGAGUGGUAGUCCAAUAGUUGCAUAGAAACAGAGUUCAAAAGGUGGACUCACCUCAGGAUCAAGAACUUUAUGAACUAUGAAGAGUGUGGCAUGCAUGGAUUUCACAUGCUAGAAAAGACCAACAUCAUUUCACAUUUGCUCUACCUUUGUCCACUCAUUCCUUGCUGGAACAGCUUGAAUAUUUUAAAUCUUUCAUU